rnacentral:rRNA from 1 species
CUACGGGAUGCUGCAGACGAGAAAACUUUGCAAUGUGCGAAAGCACGACAAGGUUAAUCCGAGUGGUUUCUGCUAAAGGAACCUUUUGACAGUCCUAGAAACACUGUUGAAUAAGGGGUGGGCAAGUUCUGGUGUCAGCCGCCGCGGUAAAACCAGCACCUCAAGUGGUCAGGAUGAUUAUUGGGCCUAAAGCAUCCGUAGCCGGCUCUGUAAGUUUUCGGUUAAAUCUGUACGCUCAACGUACAGGCUGCCGGGAAUACUGCAGAGCUAGGGAGUGGGAGAGGUAGACGGUACUCGGUAGGAAGGGGUAAAAUCCUUUGAUCUAUUGAUGACCACCUGUGGCGAAGGCGGUCUACCAGAACACGUCCGACGGUGAGGGAUGAAAGCUGGGGGAGCAAACCGGAUUAGAUACCCUCGUAGUC